rnacentral:rRNA from 1 species
GUCCUUGCCGUAAACGAUGCACACUUGGUGUAAUUGGACUCAACCCCAAUUGUGCCGGAGCUAACGCGUUAAGUGUGCCGCCUGGGGAGUACGCUCGCAAGGGUGAAACUCAAAAGAAUUGACGGGGACCCGCACAAGCAGUGGAGCAUGUGGUUUAAUUCGAUGCAACGCGAAGAACCUUACCUAGGCUUGACAUGCAGAGGACGUUAGCAGAAAUGUUAACUCCCUUCGGGGCCUCUGCACAGGUGCUGCAUGGCUGUCGU